GGCUCCAGCAGUCGUCCACCAUUGCUCCCUACGUCACACUCCGGAGGGGUCUCAAUGCCGAAAGCAGCAAGGCGACCUUCCCUAGACCUAAGAGUGCCUUGGAGCGCCUGUACUCAGGGGAUCACCAGCGAGGCAAGAUGAGUGCAGAGGAGCAGCUGGAGCGCAUGAAGCGACACCAGAAGGCCCUGGUCCGAGAGCGCAAGAGGACACUGGGCCAAGGGGAGAGGACGGGCCUGCCCUCAUCUCGCUACCUCAGCCGGCCGCUCCCUGGAGAUCUUGGCUCAGGGAAGAGAGGCUUUGAGCCUGCUCUAUUCUCAACAACCUGCUCAGCGGUCAAAGGCCUGUGAGGAUGCAGGUCCUGGGUCAACAGGAAGUCACCACGGAGCUGGACAGUCAUGGUUGGAUCUUAUCGUGGAAGCGUGAGCAGGACUUUGACCUGCAGUUGCUGGAACGGGUCGUGCAAGGGGAAAAAAAGGACAAGGAGGAGAAUGGCUGGUUGAAAGUGCA
rnacentral:sRNA from 1 species